rnacentral:rRNA from 1 species
UACGUAGGGUGCGAGCGUUAAUCGGAAUUACUGGGCGUAAAGCGUGCGCAGGCGGUUUUGUAAGGCAGGGGGGAAAUCCCCGGGCUCAACCUGGGAAUGGCAUUUGGGACUGCAAGGCUGGAGUGCGGCAGAGGAGACUGGAAUUCCUGGUGUAGCAGUGAAAUGCGUAGAUAUCAGGAGGAAUACCGAUGGCGAAGGCAGGUCUCUGGGCUGACACUGACGCUCAUGCACGAAAGCGUGGGGAGCAAACAGG